CUCACAGGUGCUCCACUGGUCUAGACUGUUCCGAGACUUGGCACCAGCAGAACACCCAAAUUUGAUAACACCCCCCAGGCCAUUGCGGACUUGCCAUGACAACGCUACAUAUGAAGAAAAGAGCUCCUGUUGGUUUAAGGUUCAGUUAACCAUGAAUAGAUCCCAGUGGUCUACCUCACAAUAUAUAGUUCACACUUGCAAAACAUGAAACCUUACAUGUCUAGAUAACCCAGCGAUGUAACCUUCAGCUAAGUGAUAGAUCUAGCUAAACCCUGCAAAGCACAAACCUUGCAGGUCUAGAUAACCCUGCGAUGUUAAUUUCAGUUAUGUGACAAUUCUUGCUAAAACCCUGCAAAGCCUACACCUUGCAUGUCUAGAUAACCCUGGGAUGUUAUUUUUAGCUAGGGAACAGAUCUAGCUACACCAUGCAAAGCAUAAACCUUACAUAUCCGUAUAACUCAGCGAUGUUAAUUUCGGAUAAGUGACAGAACUAGCGAGAAGACCCUUUAUUGUUUAUUCAUCAAUCUACCCUUACAGAUAAAAUUUGUGCUUGAUUUCACAUGUACCUCUAUGUUCAAAUGUCAAUACCGCGUUGGAGGAAUGCCUUUGGGGUACCUCACAACUGUUUGUUAUUAGCUUAUGCACUCCAAAA